AAUAGGGAUUAAGUUUUGCAGUAAACAGCAUUUAAAAGUCACUUAGUUGCCCAAAGCCAUUUUAUAAAGACGAUCCUAGAGCUACACAGUAUUAUUAAUCAAGGCCGUGAACCCACACGAACCUGCCUUAACCCAAGGCCUACGAUGAUUCAGACCGAACUGGCAACCCGACCCUGGGUCCCAGCUCGUCCCAAGCCAACCCAGGCCAACCAUUCCACAUUUUAGUUGUUAAGCAGGUUUUAAGAAUUAAAACACUAACUUGGGUACAUUGCUCGGCUUGCCCAUAACCGAGGGCGCGGCUAUUCGAAUAGAUUAUACUCUGAUCAGAGGUGUACAUCUUUACCCACAAGACACAUCUUCCUCACGUGUAACCACGUGCCACAUACCACCACGGUAUACAGACGGAAGACGUGACAUAGUUUCCAACCCAUCCUAGCCUUAGACAAGAGUACCGACCCAAUCCCGCCUACGGCCGGAACCCCCGGGACAGGCAGACGGAACUGAGCCCCUCGCAGCAGGGCACCAACCCUG
rnacentral:misc_RNA from 1 species